rnacentral:rRNA from 1 species
CUACGGGAGGCAGCAGUGGGGAAUUUUGGACAAUGGGGGCAACCCUGAUCCAGCCAUGCCGCGUGAGUGAAGAAGGCCUUCGGGUUGUAAAGCUCUUUCAGCCGGGAAGAAAAUGCAUGGGUUAAUACCCUGUGCAGAUGACGGUACCGGAAUAAGAAGCACCGGCUAACUACGUGCCAGCAGCCGCGGUAAUACGUAGGGUGCGAGCGUUAAUCGGAAUUACUGGGCGUAAAGCGUGCGCAGGCGGUUUUGUAAGACAGGCGUGAAAUCCCCGGGCUUAACCUGGGAACUGCGUUUGUGACUGCAAGGCUAGAGUACGGCAGAGGGGGGUGGAAUUCCACGUGUAGCAGUGAAAUGCGUAGAGAUGUGGAGGAACACCAAUGGCGAAGGCAGCCCCCUGGGUCGAUACUGACGCUCAUGCACGAAAGCGUGGGUAGCAAACAGGAUUAGAUACCCUGGUAGG